UCGCAAGUCGAACGGNGUGCUAGCAAUAGUACUUAGUGGCGAACGGGUGAGUAACGCGUUGGUGACCUACCCCGAAGCGGGGGAUAACAGCUCGAAAGGGCUGCUAAUACCCCAUGAGGUCUUACUGGUUAGAGGCGGUAAGACGAAAGGGAGCAAUCCCACUUUGGGAGGGGCCUGCGUCCCAUCAGCUAGUUGGUAGGGUAAAAGCCUACCAAGGCGAAGACGGGUAGGGGACCUGAGAGGGUGACCCCCCACACUGGCACUGAAACACGGGCCAGACACCUACGGGUGGCAGCAGUAGGGAAUAUUGCACAAUGGGCGAAAGCCUGAUGCAGCAACGCCGCGUGCGCGAAGAAGGCCUUCGGGUUGUAAAGCGCUUUUCGGGGAGAUGAGGAAGGACAGUAUCCCCGGAAUAAGGCUCGGCUAACUACGUGCCAGCAGCCGCGGUAACACGUAGGAGCCAAGCGUUAUCCGAAUUCACUGGGCGUAAAGCGCGUGUAGGCGGCUCGGUAAGCUGGAUGUGAAAGCUCCCGGCUCAACUGGGAGAGGACGUUCAAUACUGUCGAGCUAGA
rnacentral:rRNA from 1 species